AUUGAACGCUGGCGGCAGGCCUAACACACGCAAGUCGAACGGUAACAGGAAACAGCUUGCUGUUUCGCUGACGAGUGGCGGACGGGUGAGUAAUGUCUGGGAAACUGCCUGAUGGAGGGGGAUAACUACUGGAAACGGUAGCUAAUACCGCAUAACGUCGCAAGACCAAAGAGGGGGACCUUCGGGCCUCUUGCCAUCGGAUGUGCCCAGAUGGGAUUAGCUAGUAGGUGGGGUAACGGCUCACCUAGGCGACGAUCCCUAGCUGGUCUGAGAGGAUGACCAGCCACACUGGAACUGAGACACGGUCCAGACUCCUACGGGAGGCAGCAGUGGGGAAUAUUGCACAAUGGGCGCAAGCCUGAUGCAGCCAUGCCGCGUGUAUGAAGAAGGCCUUCGGGUUGUAAAGUACUUUCAGCGGGGAGGAAGGGAGUAAAGUUAAUACCUUUGCUCAUUGACGUUACCCGCAGAAGAAGCACCGGCUAACUCCGUG
rnacentral:rRNA from 1 species